rnacentral:rRNA from 1 species
AUAAGCAGCCAUAUCACCCUGCAGCCCAAGACUGGUCGCCACACUGAAGCCAAGCAGGGUUGAGUCUGGUCAGUACCUGGAUGGGAGACCUCCUGGAAAACUAGGUUGCUGCUGGAA